rnacentral:rRNA from 1 species
UACGUAGGGACCAAGCGUUGUCCGGAUUUACUGGGCGUAAAGGGCGCGUAGGCGGCAUGACAAGUCACUUGUGAAAUCUCUGGGCUUAACCCAGAACGGCCAAGUGAUACUGUCGCGCUAGAGUGCGGAAGGGGCAAUCGGAAUUCUCGGUGUAGCGGUGAAAUGCGUAGAUACCGAGAGGAACACCUGAGGUGAAGACGGGUUGCUGGGCCGACACUGACGCUGAGUGCGCGAAAGCCAGGGGAGCAAACGGG